AUGGGGUUCAGACGUCCCAGCAAGAUCCAGGCUGUCACGCUUCCCAUGAUCCUCACGUCUCUCUACAAGAACCUCGUAGCCCAGGCGCACAACGGCUCCGGCAAGACCACCUGCUUCGUCCUCGGCAUGCUCAGCCGCGUCGACCCCAGCCGCAGGACUCCCCAGGCCAUCUGCAUAUGCCCUACCGGGGAGCUUGCGCAGCAGGUGUUGAUCCAGGCAGAUCUCUUCCUGAACAAUCUGACCAGCAUGUGCGAGAGGAGCACAGAGAAGGGCUCUAUGUGGGUCACCAUGAAGCGAUCGUCGAUGAAGUGUCAGGCUAGGUUGAAGAAGAUGGCGAGUAAGGGGGAGCCUAUUGAGUACUGGUGCCUGGUCUGUGCCACCGAUGGCAAGAGGAACAUCUCCACCUCGGGAGCUCCGCAUCCGAGUCUCGUCCAUCCUCAGCAGCAAGGAGCUGGGCCAAGGGAGCAAGCAGCGCUGCUGGUUACUUGGGGCCAGAUCGAGUAA
rnacentral:rRNA from 1 species